ACAAGCAGUGGAGUAUGUGGUUUAAUUCGAAGCAACGCGAAGAACCUUACCAGGGCUUGACAUCCCUUGAAGCAGCUAGAGAUAGCUGUGUCCUUCGGGACAAGGAGACAGGUGGUGCAUGGUUGUCGUCAGCUCGUGUCGUGAGAUGUUGGGUUAAGUCCCGCAACGAGCGCAACCCUCGACCUUAGUUGCCAGCAUUCAGUUGGGCACUCUAAGGUGACUGCCGGCUAAAAGUCGGAGGAAGGUGGGAUGACGUCAAAUCAUCAUGCCCCUUAUGACCUGGGCUACACACGUGCUACAAUGGGCGGUACAAAGGGCUGCGAACCCGCGAGGGGGAGCGAAUCCCAAAAAGCCGCUCUCAGCUCGGAUUGCAGGCUGCAACUCGCCUGCAUGAAGCCGGAAUCGCUAGUAAUCGCGGAUCAGCAUGCCGCGGUCGAAUACGUUCCCGGGCCUU
rnacentral:rRNA from 1 species